rnacentral:rRNA from 1 species
AUUGAACGCUGGCGGCAUGCCUUACACAUGCAAGUCGAACGGUAACGCGGGGCAACCUGGCGACGAGUGGCGAACGGGUGAGUAAUGCAUCGGAACGUGCCCAGUAGUGGGGGAUAGUCCGGCGAAAGCCGGAUUAAUACCGCAUACGACCUACGGGUGAAAGCGGGGGACCGUAAGGCCUCGCGCUAUUGGAGCGGCCGAUGUCAGAUUAGGUAGUUGGUGGGGUAAAGGCCUACCAAGCCUUCGAUCUGUAGCUGGUCUGAGAGGACGACCAGCCACACUGGGACUGAGACACGGCCCAGACUCCUACGGGAGGCAGCAGUGGGGAAUUUUGGACAAUGGGCGCAAGCCUGAUCCAGCCAUGCCGCGUGCGGGAAGAAGGCC